rnacentral:rRNA from 1 species
AUGCCGCCCCCCUGCGGCGCCUCGGUCCCCUCCCCCACUUGCCACCUCGCUCCCCACUCCGUCCUCCACUCUCCCUCUCCCCAGAUCCCUUUCUCCCCUGCGCCCACCCGACGCGGCCGCUGCUGCCGCCUCGCCGUGACCAUGGCCGACGACCUCCCCGAGCCAAGCGAAGACAUCCAGGAGCAUCAUCGGCAUCUCCUGCGUCUACUACAGCCAGCAGUGCGAGCUGGGAGGCGUUGCUUCCCCGGAUCCUCGUCGUCUUCCACCUUCGGCACCGCCGCCGUCAUCGCCUCAUCGUCUCCGUGGCCAGCGUCGUCCCUUUCGUCCGAGCUUGCGCCAGGAGCUCCACCUGCCUCCCCUGCUUCCCCUACGCGGAUCCACUCGAGCUCGGAGCACCCACCUCGACCGAAUCGUCCGUCUUCCUCGACUACGGCCGCUGCGGCCAUCGCCGUCGAUCUGCACCACCGGCGCCUCCCGGCCUCGCCGAGCUCGUCCACGGCUUCCCUGGGAUGA